GAAAUUCCUGGCGAUGAAGCUCGCCUUGUCUUAAGUAAAAGACAAAACCACUACUAAAGAAGAGUAGUUGAUAGCUUCUACUGAAAA
rnacentral:ncRNA from 2 species